rnacentral:rRNA from 1 species
CCGGCGCACGGGUGAGUAACGCGUAUGUAAUCUACCUGUAACAGAGGGAUAACCCGGAGAAAUCCGGACUAAUACCUCAUAGCACAUAUUAUUCGCAUGAAUUUUAUGUUAAAGAGACUCGGUUACAGAUGAACAUGCGUUCCAUUAGCUAGUUGGCGGGGUUACGGCCCACCAAGGCAACGAUGGAUAGGGGUUCUGAGAGGAAGGUCCCCCACACUGGUACUGAGACACAGACCAG